AGAGUUUGAUCCUGGCUCAGAUUGAACGCUGGCGGCAGGCCUAACACAUGCAAGUCGAACGGUAGCACAGAGAGCUUGCUCUCGGGUGACGAGUGGCGGACGGGUGAGUAAUGUCUGGGAAACUGCCUGAUGGAGGGGGAUAACUACUGGAAACGGUAGCUAAUACCGCAUAACGUCGCAAGACCAAAGAGGGGGACCUUCGGGCCUCUUGCCAUCAGAUGUGCCCAGAUGGGAUUAGCUAGUAGGUGGGGUAACGGCUCACCUAGGCGACGAUCCCUAGCUGGUCUGAGAGGAUGACCAGCCACACUGGAACUGAGACACGGUCCAGACUCCUACGGGAGGCAGCAGUGGGGAAUAUUGCACAAUGGGCGCAAGCCUGAUGCAGCCAUGCCGCGUGUAUGAAGAAGGCCUUCGGGUUGUAAAGUACUUUCAGCGGGGAGGAAGGUGUUGUGGUUAAUAACCGCAGCAAUUGACGUUACCCGCAGAAGAAGCACCGGCUAACUCCGUGCCAGCAGCCGCGGUAAUACGGAGGGUGCAAGCGUUAAUCGGAAUUACUGGGCGUAAAGCGCACGCAGGCGGUCUGUCAAGUCGGAUGUGAAAUCCCCGGGCUCAACCUGGGAACUGCAUUCGAAACUGGCAGGCUAGAGUCUUGUAGAGGGGGGUAGAAUUCCAGGUGUAGCGGUGAAAUGCGUAGAGAUCUGGAGGAAUACCGGUGGCGAAGGCGGCCCCCUGGACAAAGACUGACGCUCAGGUGCGAAAGCGUGGGGAGCAGACAGGAUUAGAUACCCUGGUAGUCCACG
rnacentral:rRNA from 1 species